GUUGCUUUCAUCCCCACCUCCCAGUAAAAAUCAUAGAACACUUUAAUGACAGAUUGUUUGUUGGCAUGAAAUAAUUCUUGAAGGUGAAACGCUCAGCACUCCAGUUAUCGGAGACGCCAUACAUUUUACCAAUGUCCUCUUGACUAAUUGCAAACAAUAGAACGAAUGAAAAUUUGCAUCUAAAUUGUUAGAAAAGAGAGUUGGAAUUAUCUUGUGAAGGCUGAGUGAUAUCCAGCCUGCUACGCUCUGC